rnacentral:ncRNA from 1 species
AUAGUGGAGACCAGAAACCACUCAAAAAACGGGGCGUUACUGAAAAGCCUUAUGAGUAAGGAAAU